rnacentral:rRNA from 1 species
AGAAUCAACGCUGGCGGCGUGCCUAACACAUGCAAGUCGAACGAGAAAGUGGAGCAAUUCACAAGUAAAGUGGCGCACGGGUGAGUAACACGUGACUAACCUACCCUUGAGUGGGGGAUAACCUAGGGAAACCUGGGCUAAUACCGCAUAAUACCUACGGGUCAAAGGAGCAAUUCGCUUAAGGAGGGGGUCGAGGCCGAUUAGUUAGUUGGCGGGGUAAUGGCCCACCAAGACGAUGAUCGGUAU